ensembl:lincRNA
UGGUUAAUUGGAAGAAGAAGUAUUCUGGUUCCACUUCUAAUAUCAUAUAACAUAAAUUAGAGCAAGUAGAUAACAUGGUAUUUAAUGGCUGUACCUUGGUCAAGGAUCAUUGAAAUGACUGGCUUAGUAUUCUAAAAUAUUUGCAGUGAGUGUUUAUAUCUACUUUUAUGCAUUCUUUUUUUCUUUUCAGUUAAUACUCUUGGAUAAUGUAUUUAAGGAUGCUUAAGGAAGAAGUUCACAGACAGGAUGGCUUCAUGAUAAGUAAACUCCAGUGGUGUGUUAAAGAUGGCUUGUACGGGCUUGUGAGAAUUAACAGCUAAUCUUCUGGAGUUUUGUAAGCUGGCUAUUAAACACAGCCAUUGCCCAAAAUCAAAUUAUAUAAAAUCAUGUUAAAAUUAAAGGUAAUAAAUAUAGCUCAUUAUUUCCUAAUUAUUAUACUAUUGUUUAUAUUCUUGAAGUUAUUUACAUCUAAAUUCUAUGGUGAAAAUACCAUAUAAUGUACUACUCCACAUCUUUGCCCAACUCUGCUU